GGGGAUUUAGCUCAGUGGUAGAGCGCUUGUCUAGCAAGCGCAAGGCCCUGGGUUUGGUCCCCAGCUCUGAAAAAAAAAAGAAAAAAAUAAAAGAACACUGGCUGCCUCCCACAGGACCAGGGUUCAAUUCCCAAUACCCC
rnacentral:tRNA from 1 species